rnacentral:rRNA from 1 species
UACGUAGGGUGCAAGCGUUAUCCGGAAUUAUUGGGCGUAAAGCGCUCGUAGGCGGUUUGUCGCGUCUGCUGUGAAAACUGGAGGCUCAACCUCCAGCCUGCAGUGGGUACGGGCAGACUAGAGUGCGGUAGGGGAGAUUGGAAUUCCUGGUGUAGCGGUGGAAUGCGCAGAUAUCAGGAGGAACACCGAUGGCGAAGGCAGAUCUCUGGGCCGUAACUGACGCUGAGAAGCGAAAGCAUGGGGAGCGAACAGG